UUUCAUGUUUUUUAUUCUAGGUUUUAUGUAUCUAUCUCUUUGCAUAGUUACCUGAAAAAAGGGAAACAAAAUUUUUUAUUUUCAUUUUGCUAACAGCAAAUUUGUGAAUACAGGUGGAUUUUUCCUAUUUUAAAUAUUUUGCUUAUAAUUAACUUCUACAUGCUGUUUUGUUUUACACUGAACUUCUAACUGAAGGCUCUUUCAUUCCCAUCCCUGCCUCAACAGUGACAAGGUUAUGCUCUUAAGGAUCAAACAAAACACACUGAAAGACACACUUAAAAUGAAAACAUUCAAGCACUUUGUGUGACCUGUCUCUGCAGGAUUACUCCCAUUACAUGGAGAGCUUUUUUCUUUCUUUACCUCUUCUUAUUCCUAAAAUACUACUGAUUCUUUUUUAAAGAAUACUGCCUUUAAAAAUUGCAGAAUUUUCAUAGGAGAAUUACCAUUGUUAUCUUCCUGAGAAAAGAAGCUGCCAGGUAAUGGAAAGGGAAGGGAGUAACUGAACCUCGGAGUUAUAAGGACUAAGCCUUAAACAAAGACAGAAUACAGAGUAUUAAUGAAUUUGGAACUAGUCAAAAUGUGCCAAGGACUGUGUUUCUUCUCUAUAAGCUCUUUUGUGCUUCCUGUAAGCAAAAGUCAAGCCAACCUCAAAAGAAGCAGUAUCUGAUUUUCUGGACAGUUUCUCUGUUAGGAUGUAGCUGGGGCUCUGUUUAUCUGAAAUAAUGCUUGACAGCUGCAUCCCCCAAGCACACACUCCAAUACAACAUCCCAAAAUGGGUGAAGCAUGUAUAACAAAAUGAAACUUAAAGCAAGACAGCCAGAGUCAGAGUAAAUCUCUGUUUCAUUGAGUUCUUUCUUGACUGAAAGAUGUAGACUGUCUCUUAGUAACUUACAGAGAAACCAGCAGGUCUAGUGGGGAAUAUAGUGCCAUUCUUUGCCUUUUUAUUUUUUUUUUAACAUUGAUUUUGAACAGCGCAUCAGAAAAAAGGAUGACAGAAUCAAUAAAAUUUGAGAUGCUCUCGUAAUGUGGGUUUAACUUCAUAGUAACUACUCUAAUCAAAGGCAGGAAACCCUUUGUGGUAUUUUGACAUCUACAUCUAUCACGUGGAUAUGGCUUUUAUUGAGCUAAAUUAACAACUUUACUCAAAUAAUUAAAAUCUAGCUGCCCAAAAUGUCAAAGUAGUUUAACACUUCAUACAGGUUGGUUUUUUGUUAGAGGAUGGGUUGAAUUCAGGUUUAUAUUUGGGGUUUGGGUGUUUUGCUCAGUAUUGUUUGUUUCUUUCCCCACAAAUAGAAACAUAAUAAUAUAUAAAAAUAUAUUAUUAGACAACAAAAUCUUCCCAUUAUUUUUCAGUGUUUAAAAUAUUAAUGCAUACUCUCUUUUAUUGACAUAUAUAAAUUUACAGAGGCAAGCAGAAGCAAAAAUGUUGUAGCCUUCCACUUCAUUGAUAGUAAUGAAGUGAAAGGUUACAACAAAUCUAUUUUUUAUUCCUUGAGGAAGUGUUCAGUCUUAGCUGUAGUCUUUUCCUUACAAUUCUGUCUUGUUCAUUAUAUAAAGAAAUUAUAAUGAAAUAUAAAUUUUUUAAAAAAUUAUAUGUAUGGACAUUAUAUUAAAAAUGCAUUUAAAUCUUCUGGGGCCAUCUAUAAAUUUGAUAACAAUUACUUUAAAACAUGCAUAUGAACAGAAUGACUCAGUGUCAGUGCUAUAUUUUAUAUACAUUCUAUUGUUCCUUUGAGACCUAAUUUAAGUUUCAUUAAGUUUUGCACUCUGAAGGAGUCCUUUGUCCACUGUGCUCAUCUCCUUGAAUGUGCUAGGAUCUUGCAGUGCUAUAGCUAUAGCACUGCAAUAUAUAGCUAUAUUCAUUAUAUAGCUAUAUAUAAUGAAUAUAUAUGUAUAUAUAGAAUAUAUAUAUAAUAUAUGUAGCUAUAUAUAAUGAAUGUAUAGCCAUAUUCAUUAUAGAGAAUAAUGAAAUAAAAUAAAUGUCUUUAUUUGAUAAACUAACACCAUUCAGAAUAGUUUAAUUUGGCUACUUCUCACCAAGGCAGUAAUCUGUUACUCUUCCCUUUCCAUCUAUAUUCAGCUUCCACUUUUAUGUUCAGCUCAGUAAGGAUACUUGCAUGAUGCAUAGAAACCCUCUGUUCCAAAGUUGCAAGUGAUUUAAAGUAGUGGUUUAAAGCUGGAUUUUUAGUGUUCACAAAUCAAUAAGGUCUUUCCUGUAUAUUUUUAAGGGAUAACUGGUAUCUGCAUUGUAAUAGUAGGAAGUUUAGGUGUAGCUGCACUUGAAAUAACAUUCGGUAAAAUAUCCAAAUUGCAUUUACUGCCACAUCACUUCAAAAAUCCUGUAUCAUUCAGAGAAUAAUAGCACCAUCUGAUUAAAAGCUUGUUGGAGUGUGUUUUAAGUUUCCCCCCAGGUAUGGUUGCUCCCUGUCCCCCUCUUUUUGUAAAAUGGUCCAGCCUUCCUUCUCCUCCCUCCUCCGUCUGCCUGUCAUUCCUCCCUCCACCCAGUUCAUUGUAUUCUUGCUGAGUUAUCCUCUCCAGCCACACCCUGUAGCCUGCCUGUCUCUCAGAGACCUCUCCCUUCCAUCUAGAAAGUUCCAUCCAGGGCCUCGAGUGAUAAGCUGGUCCCCGGGGUCCCCUCCCUCCCUCCUACCUCAUUGGAAGUUCCCCUGCGUGUUACCCCUGUUACCACCCCCAGGUGUUAUCCCAUUGGUUGGCUGCUGUUUCCUCCCCUUGUUACCACCCCCCUUUAAGAAGCAGGGCACACAGUGCCCGUUGCCUUUUGGAGCUUAUCUUCUUUGAGCCAGUAAGCUUGGAAUUCAGAUACCCCCAGAAGGAUGGCUCCUUGCUUUUGUCAGAAUCGCUCUGCAUGUCUUUCAGUCUGGUGGCUUUGACUUCCCACAGGCCAUACCUCGUGCCCACAGCGGCAUGUGAGAGUGGCCUUUGCUGCCACAGUGCUACAGGUUCUGACCUAGCCAAGACGUGUCAAUCUAGCAACAGCCUUAGUGGCUCCGUGGUAGAAUUCUCACCUGCCAUGCUGGCAGCCUGGGUUUGAAUCCUGGCAAAGCCACUAGUGCUAGCAAGGCUUAGGAAGGCACUUUUAAAAAGGGCUUGCAGCCACUCUUAUUUCAUGAAUUGUGUCUCUGUGGGCAUUUAUUAUUUUUUCAUGUUGAAGACAGUCAAACCAUUCUGUUUAGCUAUAGAAAGCCUCAGUCCCAGCUGAGGCUUUGAUAACCUAUAAUUUAGAAUUUUAUUUUUGCUUUUCCUUCAGAAGCGAAGGAUUUUUUUUUAAUUAUCAAAAAUCUUGCUUUUACACUUCCAAGGAGUUUUGAUGCACUGCACUGGUGAGGAAGAAAUGUUUCAGGGUGGGUGCUGUAAAACAGUUCAAAAUCAGAGCAGUGUACUUGAAAUGUUUUCCCAAAGACUUUUAAAGUCCAUAAGAUGCAAAAAAAGCAGAAGUUUUCAAAGAAAUCUUAUGGGAGAUGUUGGGGAUUUUUGGAUUUAAUUUUUUUUUUGUGAUGUAAGAACUAUAAUUUUAGCAAGAGUUAAAUAUUGUAUUACUCUGCAUGAUAAACAUGAGUGACUAUCUACUCUCAUGCUCAGGCACAUAAAAUCUAAAAUAAGGCACUAAAAAGCACCACUGAUGCUCAGAAAUUUAAGUGUAAUUUUUUAAUUAUCUCAAGCACAUCCAGAAGGCUCUCUAUUUGGAGCCUUGUUUUACUUUUUAAGUUUCUGGUUAUUGUGAAAAUAGUUGUAAAACUGAGUUAACUCAGUAAAAUACUGAGUCUUGUAUUCCAGCACUGAAGAGGGCACUAGCAAUUGGAGGAGCAUGCACAAAAAGCUGCUAAUCUCCUGGAUAUGCAUAGGUGUGCUUGGCUAAAUUUUAAUAGUCUUUGUCUUGGAGAACAUGAGAAAGGGGACAAAGAAGGAGGCUUCAGGUGUCAGUCAGUGUUGCUGGCCUUGUCUUGGUACCAGAGAAGCUUUUGUUUGUAUUCUGCCUGAUAGAGUUUUAUUUCAGCUUUUAGCUGAAGAAGCUUUUGUGCCCUAAGAAGAUGUUCCUCUGUCUCCUCAGUAGCUGCUGCUCAGGGCAAAAUGAAGAUUCUUGCAAGAUCUCUCUCUGGCCACUUGAGAAACUAUAAGAGUGGCUAGAAAAAGACUGAAUGUAUCCGGUCAAAGAACAGAUGGGAGCAUUGCUGACCAUAUGGGCAAGAAGCCCCUGUUGCAGUGAAGAUUUCCAUGUGAACAAUUUUAAGAAAAAUGUUAGAUUCCACAAAAAUAGUAAAGGAAAACCCAUUGCAGUGUUGCAGCAAAGUUGCAUGCAAGCUUUUCGUUUCCUAAGGAAAAACUCAUAAGGACUGAGAUACAUGCAUCUGGCAGUCUAGCGCAAAAAACCAUACAUGUUUUCUGUCUCCACUCAGUUCUUACAUGAAUCCUUAGGUGAGAUAUAAGGCAGAAAAUACUAUCUUAGAAGUCUGCUUCUCUAGUGGUUUUAGGUUGAAAAGCAUUUAAUAACUUUUUAUACAGGUUUUUUGUGCCUUUUAGGAGCAAGCUGUAAGUGCUGUUUCCAUUCCACCCCAGUGAAUUAUCAAGGCUUUGUCUCCUGGUCUAGGCAUCAUGAGAAAGUGCACGCAAGUGUAUGGUAGAAUUUCUGACUCAGUAGCAUAGGUGGCAUUCUUACUGAUCUUCUGUAAUUUUUAUUUGUACCCAUACCCAGAGCCUUGCCCCUCUCUUCCACACAGCACCAUCUUGACUUCUCUAUUACAGAUCUCUAGAGAAGAUUCUAAUGCACCCUGCAAUGCUCUGUUUUCAAGUGGAUUGGCACAAAGACUAUUUUCAGCUCCAUUCAGGACUGCAUUUGAAGCUAAAUUAAUGCCUGUUCUCAGAUGCAGGGAACCAGUGGAUGCACUCAGCUCUCAAACUACAAUCCCAUGAUUUUUAUUUCUGUACUUUAUACAUUAAAUUUUACCAGGAGCCAAAAGUUUUCCCUUUCUGUAUGCCAAGCAGCAUUAUAAUCUCAGAGAAAUCUAGUAUAUCAUUCUAUUAACCCAUGCUUACAGCCAAAUAGGAUUCAAAGUCUUUAUGUUUCCCCAAGUGUUAAGCUAUUCUGAGCAGCUUGUUCAGUACCAAUUCACAAAGCAGUUCUCAGGUGUUAAAUGUAAAAUAUAGGCAAGCUGCCGAUCUAUUAAGAAAACACAGCUGAAGAGUCUCACACAACAACCUAAAGGUUAGAGAGCUUAUUCAAUAUUUUGGUCCUUGGCAUAAAGAAAUUCCAGCUCAUUAUCUCACUUUCUAAGAGCUUCCUUGGCUUUGACAGCGGCAAACUGUGUUUUACAAAGAAUUUUUCUCUUCUACACAACAGAAAAAUUGAAUGCAAUGUCUCUGAGACAGAAAGGAAGCAUUUUGCUGAUCUGCCUAAGUGAUUAACUUCCUGUAUAACAGAAGUCUCAGUUCAGUAAGAAUGAGAGUGCUGGGCUCUCAGACCUUCCUACAGAGAACUACUGCACAGUGAUUUCUAAUGGUGCUACCUUUUACUUGAUAUAUUUAUUUAUAUAUUUUCUUCCCCCACCCCUUGAUAAUUCCUACCAUUAAUUCCCUUUUAACAAUCCUCUUUUAAAGUAUGAUGAUUUUAAUCCAUCAUUUUUAAUUGUAGGGAGUUUUUAUUUUGCUUUGCUUUUUAGAACUGCUAAGAAAAGUGGUUCACAACACAUAUAUGUUCAAUUGAUUCAGAGAAUCAACUCAACUUUAGAAGAUUUCCACAUACUGUGUGGGUAUACUGAAAAAAUAUGGUCAUUUUUAGGAUAGGAGAGAUGUUUCCCUGAGGGUGUUGACUGACAAAGCCUACACACUGAUUUUCUUAAUAUUAUUCAUAAAUAGAGUCUUUACUAUCAGCACUGAUGCUUCAGAAAGAAAAUAAGAAAGAUGUUUUUAUGAGCUUCUGAUGUGGAAUGUGAAAAUGUGUAAUUCUGUCUGUAAGGGAACAAAUAGCCAAAAUACCAUCAAUUUGCACUCUUUACAAUAAAAUGAAAUAAAACAGAGACCAGGAAAGCUGCCAGUUUUUCUGUGUAAGACCAUGUGGGUUAAUGUGUAUAUGUAGCUUUAACACAUUAUAAAGCUUGAUCAUGAACACAUGAUCUUGAAUCUCAGCAAUCACUUUAUGAACUUACCUAAUUUUUUUCCCCUUUAGGCAGAGGUAUGAAAGCUUACUUUGUCCUUUUCAUUCUAUGUCUUUUCAGUGGCAUGAUUGUUCAGUAUAUUUAUGCAAUCUCAUACUUCUUUCACUAAUAUAUUUCUUUUCAAAACAGAGAUUUUAAUAAUUUAGAUGGCAGCUGUCCAACUAAGAAAUUUUUUUUUAGCUACUAGCAUGAAUUUUUCAAAAUUAAAUUUGGGUCAUGAUGCAGCUUACUAGGAACUUCAUUUAACUGAAUCUGUGAGGGUUGUGUGGUUGCAACCUUAUGACAGUUGCAAACUUCAGUGAUGCUUGGUCACUAGAAAAUUUGUCAGACAUGCAUUUAUAAUAAUCUUCUAUAGACUGAAAGGCAUCCAGAGACAAUGGUGGAGUUCAAGACAAAAGAUUUCAUAGAUGAAUAUCUCAUUAUUCUAUGCAUCCCACUUGGAGAGUCACUGAGUGAUUUCCUUUGCCCCCAAGGAUGCUGGAGAUGGCACAUUCUCUUUUUAGUGUGAUUUGAUUAAUUUUCUAGGGAUUAGAUUGUGUUUAAGGCUUUAUGUCUGUAUGUAUACUCUACUCCAGAUUGGGAUUUUUUGCUUUUCUUCUAUUUCUUUUCCUUCCUUCUAUGCACCUAUUGCUGACUAUUGAUCUAAACCUGUGGAUUUAAAGUGACAAAGCUGCAUGAGCUGCACUUGCCUUAAAUGUGUCUUAAGGCUAAGAACUGUAAAGGAAUGCCAUUUCUUAGUGUCUGGGUAAGUCUUUGUAUGUUACAGCAAAAAAGCAGAGAUCAGGGAUUCCAGAUAACAGGUUCCCCGUAAUCUAUUUUUGUGGUAGGCAUCAAGUUUCAAUUAACCUUUAAAAAUUAUUAUAUAAAAUAUGCAAAAUAAUUUAACACAUUUUACAGAUUGAUGUAUUUAAUUUUCCUGUGCUUUUAACCUGUAUUCAGCUACAAAAUUGAUGUGCAUGGCUGCCAAUCCAGUCCAGAUAGAUGUUCCUAAUUCUGUUGCCAAUUUCAUUCCUUACUGAAAAAUGGUCCUUAAAUAGCCUCUAUGUGAAGAUUUGUUGCCAUAAUGGAAAUGCAGUAUUCCUUUCACAGCUGUGGUAGCACUCUCUAACCAUAGAAGCUGAAACUUACACAUCCUUAACAUUAAACUGUUGUUUU
ensembl:lncRNA